AAUGGGGGAAACCCUGAUCCAGCCAUGCCGCGGGAGUGAUGAAGGCCCUAGGGUCGUAAAGCUCUUUCGCCAGGGAUGAUAAUGACAGUACCUGGUAAAGAAACCCCGGCUAACUCCGUGCCAGCAGCCGCGGUAAUACGGAGGGGGUUAGCGUUGUUCGGAAUUACUGGGCGUAAAGCGCACGUAGGCGGACUAGUCAGUCAGAGGUGAAAUCCCGGGGCUCAACCCCGGAACUGCCUUUGAUACUGCUAGUCUUGAGUUCGAGAGAGGUGAGUGGAAUUCCGAGUGUAGAGGUGAAAUUCGUAGAUAUUCGGAGGAACACCAGUGGCGAAGGCGGCUCACUGGCUCGAUACUGACGCUGAGGUGCGAAAGCGUGGGGAGCAAACAGGAUU
rnacentral:rRNA from 1 species